GACGAACGCUGGCGGCGUGCUUAACACAUGCAAGUCGAACGGAAAGGCCCUGCUUGCAGGGUGCUCGAGUGGCGAACGGGUGAGUAACACGUGGGUGAUCUGCCCCUUACUUUGGGAUAAGCCUGGGAAACUGGGUCUAGUACUGGAUAGGAUCAUGCUGUAGGUGGUGUGGUGGAAAGAUUAGUUUCGGUAAGGGAUGAGCUCGCGGCCUAUCAGCUUGUUGGUGGGGUAAUGGCCUACCAAGGCGUCGACGGGUAGCCGGCCUGAGAGGGUGGACGGCCACAUUGGGACUGAGAUACGGGCCAGACUCCUACGGGAGGCAGCAGAGGGGAAUAUUGCACAAUGGGCGCAAGCCUGAUGCAGCGACGCCGCGUGGGGGAUGACGGCCUUCGGGUUGUAAACUCCUUUCAGCCAUGACGAAGCCCUUGUGGUGACGGUAGUGGUAGAAGAAGCACCGGCUAACUACGUG
rnacentral:rRNA from 1 species